CCUACGGGUGGCAGCAGUGAGGAAUAUUGGUCAAUGGACGAGAGUCUGAACCAGCCAAGUAGCGUGAAGGAUGACUGCCCUAUGGGUUGUAAACUUCUUUUAUAUGGGAAUAAAAUGUUCCACGUGUGGGAUUUUGUAUGUACCAUAUGAAUAAGGAUCGGCUAACUCCGUGCCAGCAGCCGCGGUAAUACGGAGGAUCCGAGCGUUAUCCGGAUUUAUUGGGUUUAAAGGGAGCGUAGGUGGAUUGUUAAGUCAGUUGUGAAAGUUUGCGGCUCAACCGUAAAAUUGCAGUUGAAACUGGCAGUCUUGAGUACAGUAGAGGUGGGCGGAAUUCGUGGUGUAGCGGUGAAAUGCUUAGAUAUCACGAAGAACUCCGAUUGCGAAGGCAGCUCACUGGACUACAACUGACGCUCAGGCACGAAAGCGUGGGUAUCGAACAGGAUUAGAUACCCCAGUAGUC
rnacentral:rRNA from 1 species